UACAGAGGUCCCAAGCGUUGUUCGGAUUUACUGGGCGUAAAGGGCGCGUAGGCGGCCACCGCAAGUCGACUGUGAAAUCUCCGGGCUUAACCCGGAAAGGUCAGCCGAUACUGCGGGGCUAGAGUGCAGAAGGGGCAACUGGAAUUCUCGGUGUAGCGGUGAAAUGCGCAGAUAUCAGGAGGAACACCGGUGGCGAAGGCGGGUCUCUGGGCCGAUACUGACGCUGAGGAGCGAAAGCGUGGGGAGCGAACAGG
rnacentral:rRNA from 1 species